rnacentral:tRNA from 2 species
GCCAACGUAGCUCAGCUGGUAGAGCAGCUCACUCGUAAUGAGCAGGUCGGGGGUUCGAAUCCCCCCGUUGGCU